rnacentral:lncRNA from 1 species
CAUUCCUUUCUCUAUUUUCAUUCUGGCUGGAGACAUUAACAGCUCGAUCUGGAAUAAACCGCUCAGCAUUUCUGUCCCUGGUCUCGCUCCUUUCUGGAUUCCGUUCUCUGGUCUCCCCAACAGGAACAUUUGCAGAUUGGAUAGCAAUGGUUUGCUGUGCUUGAGUAGAUACAGAUGGUUUGUUGCUGAUUGAAGGUGGGGGACACACGAGACAGACCAACACAUUACAGGAACAUUUGCAGAUUGGUUAGCAAUGGUUUGCUGUGCUUGCGUAGAGACAGAUGGUUUGUUGCUGAUUGAAGGUGGAGGACACACGAGACAGACCAACACAUUCAAUGCUGCUUCAACAAUCU